UCUCCAGGGCGCCCCGCUGGCUCUCGUGCCACGUAAGGCUGAGUCCUUACUGCAGUGCCCUGGGUUCGAGCCUGGGCCCUUUGCCGCAUGUCAAAGAAAGUGCAGCUCCCUCUCGACUUCGCCUCCUUUGCACAGCUGGCAGAACCGCUUCUCUUCGGGGAGCCAUGAUUUCUUUUGUGUCGGCCUGUCUUGAUCACCAGGUUGUGCUCACUGGGUCCGCACUCUGUCAAGGCGGCACGGUGGCGCAGUGGUUAGCGCGGUCGCCUCACAGCAAAAAGGUCCUGGAUCCGAGCUCUGGGGUAAUCCAAUUUUGGGGGUCGUCUCUGGUCGUCCUCUGUGUGGAGUUUGCAUGUUCUGCCCGUGUCUAGGUGGGUUUCCUCCGGAUGCUGUCGGCCUGUCCAGGGUGUCUCCCCGCCUGCCACCCAGUGACCGCUGGGAUAGGCACCAGCAUCUCAUGACCCUGAACCUCCUUCAGACUCCAUCUCGCUCCCUGCGGUCUUCACCAGCAAGUCUAUUGGCACUACCAGCCAUCAACCUCAGCACAAUGGGUGCCGGGGCUUUCUCCUAUGCUGCACCCAAACUCUGGAACUCCAUUACCUGUCACAUCCACUUACUGGACUCCAUAACAGAAUUCAAAACUGCUCUUAAAGCCCACCUUUUUAAAUUAGCAUACUCACUUUAACAGCAUUAACAGCAUCAAACUCAUCUUUCUGUAUCUCCUGCUGAUGUAUGCUCUACUGCUUGUUGUGUGUUUUAUUGUUGAUGGCACUAUAAUGUUUUUUACUGCUUUGUUUUAUUGUAUUUGAUGUAAGGUGACCUUGAGUGUCAUGAAAGGUGCCUUUAUA